UGCAACCUGGCGGCGUGCUUACACAUGCAGUCGAACGAGACCCCUGCUUCGGUGGGGUGUUCUAGUGGCGAACGGGUGAGUAACACGCGGGCAACCUGCCCCCGGCUCUGGGAUAACUCCAAGAAAUUGGGGCUAAUACCGGAUAUGACCGCUGACCGCAUGGUCUGGUGGUGGAAAGUUUUUCGGCUGGGGAUGGGCCCGCGGCCUAUCAGCUUGUUGGUGGGGUAGUGGCCUACCAAGGCGACGACGGGUAGCCGGCCUGAGAGGGUGACCGGCCACACUGGGACUGAGACACGGCCCAGACUCCUACGGGAGGCAGCAGUGGGGAAUAUUGCGCAAUGGGCGGAAGCCUGACGCAGCGACGCCGCGUGGGGGAUGACGGCCUUCGGGUUGUAAACCUCUUUCAGUAGGGACGAAGCGGAAGUGACGGUACCUACAGAAGAAGCACCGGCCAACUACGUGCCAGCAGCCGCGGUAAU
rnacentral:rRNA from 1 species